GGUAGGGUAGCCUAGCGUUCAGGCGGUGGGUUGUAGCCCCGAAGACGGAGGUUUAAGUCCUCUUCCUAUCA
rnacentral:tRNA from 1 species